CAGACUAUAUUUUCAGGGAUCGUUUCUGUAGUUUGCUGCUAGAGAGGUGUCUCUGAAUGCGCGGAGCGCCCAGAACCAUGAGGAGGAGGCGCGGCCUUCUCUCCCGAGCGUGAACACACGGCUUUUGGUUGCCCUGGCAACUGCUGACAGCCACUGACGAUUGUUCUUCUCUUCCUUCAGGGGAGGAGGAGGGCGAGGGUGCAGCCUGCGUGGU